rnacentral:rRNA from 1 species
UGGUGGGAUACUACCCUAGCUGUGUUGGCUUUCUAACCCGCACCACUUAUCGUGGUGGGAGACAGUGUCAGGCGGGCAGUUUGACUGGGGCGGUCGCCUCCUAAAAGGGAACGGAGGCGCUCAAAGGGUCCCUCAGAAUGGUUGGAAAUCAUUCAUAGAGUGUAAAGGCAUAAGGGAGCUUGACUGCGAGACCUACAAGUCGAGCAGGGUCGAAAGACGGACUUAGUGAUCCGGUG